rnacentral:rRNA from 1 species
GCAUAUCACUAAGCGGAGGAAAAGAAACUAACUAGGAUUCCCCCAGUAACUGCGAGUGAAGAGGGAAGAGCUCAUCAUUGGAAUCUGGCAGUGUUGCACUGUCCGAGUUGUAGAUGAGGAGUAGUCCGUCUGGACUGCAUGGCGUCCAAGUACAAUAGGCCGUCAGUGGGACAUCAUAGAGGGUGACAAUCCCGUCCUUGACGCCAAUGUGCAAGUCUAUUACGAUGGCUAUCUCAGAGAGUCGAGCAGUUUGGGAUUUGCUGCUUAAACAUGGGAGGUAGAUUCCUUCUAAAGCUAAAUACAGGCGAGAGACCGAUAGAGAACAAGUACCGCAAGGGAAAGAUGAAAUAGCACUCUGUGAAGGGAGUCAAAAGGCGUGAAAUUGUUGCGAGAGAAGCGAUUCAAGUCAGCGUAGCUAGGCCCAUCAAGCGUCUUCGCUUUGGACUAGCUUUGCCAGCGGUCUUGUCCCUUGAAGAGACUUGACUUGUAAUAUGUCCAGCCUGGCGUGCACAGGCAGCCCCUUCUGGGGGCCAGUGGCAUGGCUGGUGGAAUGGCUUGCAAUCGACCCGUCUUGAAACACGGACCAAGGAGUCUAACAUGUAUGCGAGUAUAAGGGUGGCAAACCCGUAUGCGCAAUGAAAGUGAUUUUCGGUGAUUGAGAAUGGCCUGAUGACCAGACAAGCAAUAUAUGUCCCUCGUACGGCCAUUGCCCAAGUUCCGUGGUAGAUCCCACGAACAUGGAGUUGGAGCAUACAUGCUAGGACCCGAAAGAUGGUGAACUAUGCCUGGACAAAGCGAAGCCAAAGGAAACUCUGGUGGAGGCUUGUAGCGAUUCUGACG